GCCGUGUCGUAUAGUGGUUAGUACAUUCGUUGUGGCCCGCAAUAACCCAGGUUCGAAUCCUGGUCACGGCA
rfam:Nematostella vectensis strain CH2 x CH6 NEMVEscaffold_336_Cont24219, whole genome shotgun sequence.